rnacentral:rRNA from 1 species
AGUCGAGGGGCAGCAUGAUUGAAGCUUGCUUCAAUCGAUGGCGACCGGCGCACGGGUGAGUAACACGUAUCCAACCUGCCGAUAACUCGGGGAUAGCCUUUCGAAAGAAAGAUUAAUACCCGAUAGCAUAGUAUUUCCGCAUGGUUUCACUAUUAAAGAACUUCGGUUAUCGAUGGGGAUGCGUUCCAUUAGAUAGUUGGCGGGGUAACGGCCCACCAAGUCAACGAUGGAUAGGGGUUCUGAGAGGAAGGUCCCCCACAUUGGAACUGAGACACGGUCCAAACUCCUACGGGAGGCAGCAGUGAGGAAUAUUGGUCAAUGGACGAGAGUCUGAACCAGCCAAGUAGCGUGAAGGAUGACUGCCCUAUGGGUUGUAAACUUCUUUUAUACGGGAAUAAAGUGGAGUAUGCAUACUCCUUUGUAUGUACCGUAUGAAUAAGGAUCGGCUAACUCCGUGCCAGCAGCCGCGGUAAUACGGAGGAUCCGAGCGUUAUCCGGAUUUAUUGGGUUUAAAGGGAGCGUAGGCGGGUGCUUAAGUCAGUUGUGAAAGUUUGCGGCUCAACCGUAAAAUUGCAGUUGAUACUGGGCGCCUU